CUGGUAUUACAGCCGAGACAGACAGGGGCCCUUUCUACCUAGUACCCUCCCCUGGACUGGUAUUACAGCUGAGACAGACAGGGGACCCUUUCUACCUAGUACCCUCCCCUGGACUGGUAUUACAGCUGAGACAGACAGGGGGCCCUUUCUACCGAGUACCCUCCCCUGGACUGGUAUUACAGCUGAGACAGACAGGGGCCCUUUCUACCUAGUACCCUCCCCUGGACUGGUAUUACAGCUGAGACAGACAGGGGACCCUUUCUACCUAGUACCCUCCCCUGGACUGGUAUUACAGCCGAGACAGACAGGGGGCCCUUUCUACUCAGGCACAGGGAGGGGCAGCUCAGAACCUUUGUGGUCCUGAGUGAUUCUCUGCCACAACAACUAACAUGGAUUAAAAAAAGGAAAGUGUAACAAUGGUCCUUCUGUGUUAGUGGCUGAAAAUGUCAGGUCUUCCUCUUCUGAUGCUAUGAUGCCCAGUUCUGUCUGUGUGUAGUCUGGUGCUGUGAGGUUACUAGGCUUCACAGACAACAGUCUGGUGCUGUGAGGUUACUAGGCUUCACAGACAACAGUCUGGUGCUGGGAGGUUACUAGGCUUCACAGACAACAGUCUGGUGCUCUGAGGUUACUAGGCUUCACAGACAACAGUCUGGUGCAGGGAGGUUACUAGGCUUCACAGACAACAGUCUGGUGCUGGGAGGUUACUAGGCUUCACAGACAACAGUCUGGUGCUGGGAGGUUACUAGGCUUCACAGACAACAGUCUGGUGCUGUGAGGUUACUAGGCUUCACAGACAACAGUCUGGUGCUGGGAGGUUACUAGGCUUCACAGACAACAGUCAGACUUCCUGUCUGUAAGCGUCCCCAUGUUCAGAAUUAUAUUUGUAUUAUUCUCACUAGUCUUUAUUUACACAUUUAAUAUUUCUUGGGAGCUGCUUGUGUCUGGAUGGUGUGCUAACCUGUUUGACAUUAUAAUAAUGUAAUAUAAUUUAUAUCGUUUGUAUUAUUCUAACAUAAUAUUGUGGGUCUUUUUAUUCUGUAAUUUCUUCCUGGGGGGUUUUAUAGGAUCGGGGGGUGUAUAUUAACACCAGUCUAAACCAGCUUCACCUGGAGCUGCUAUGGGACAAUAAAAUGGAUCACUUUCAGC